CAUUUCUACAGACAAAUUUAAAUGAGUUGGCUUUACUUUCCAUUUUUGUCAUAUGAUGAUUGCUGUCAGCUUCUCUUUUUGUUCACAUUGUUGUCAACUUUGAGGCUGAAGCAUCAUUCCUAAACAGCAUUGUCACCUGCAAAGAAACGAGUCCCAUGUGAUUGAUUAUUUGUUUUCGCUAUGUGCAGGGCCAGAAAGAUUUGAAAGAAUUGCACUGGCACCCACAGAUACCUGGGAUGAUCGUAUCGACGGCAGCUGACGGCUUCAACGUGUUGAUGCCUAGCAACAUAGAUACAACCAUAGCUGGGGCAGAGAAACCUACUUAGUGUAGUGCCACUUGGCUAAUUCCAGGCUCGCGAAAUCCAUGAAAUGAAUGUCCGACUAGGCUAAGAGUGAUACCCUUACAACAUUGUGUAUCUCAGAUUAUUUUUCUCUUUUUUUGUGGAGGCAACUUAUGUCCAGUUUUGCGCGAUGUAUUAUGGUUUGCUAUGAUCUUAAUCAGGCCAUCCUUUUUGUCAUCAUCAUUUAUGAUGAGAAGCAUGUUACCUCAACAGAAAGAACUUGUUCUUGCAUCAGAAGUG
rnacentral:lncRNA from 1 species